rnacentral:misc_RNA from 1 species
CCUGAAAGAACCUGCCUUUGUAGUGCUCACACAGAUUGUCUGAUAGAUGUAAAGAAGCAAGACGGCUGCGAAGUCGCGACACCUCGUGUCCCCUUCGUCUAGCGGUUAGGACUCCGCCCUUUCACGGCGGCAACAGGGGUUCGAAUCCCCUAGGGGACGCCACUUGCUGGCUGUGAGUGAAAGGCACAACCAACCGAUAUCUCAAAACUCAUCUUCGGGUGACGUUUGAGAUAUUUGCUCUUUAAAAAUCUGGAUCAAGCUGAAAAUUGAAACGACACACUGUUCAAGUGUGUUCGAGUCUCUCAAAUUUUCGCGACACGGUGAUGUUUCACGAAACAUCUUCGGGUUGUGA